GACGAACCGAGCGAACGUUGUUCGGAAUCACUGGGCUUAAAGGGUGCGUAGGCGGUCUGCCAAGUUUGGGGUGAAAUCCUCCGGCUCAACCGGGGAAGUGCCUCGAAUACUGGCGGUCUGGAGGGAGGUAGGGGCGUGCGGAACUAACGGUGGAGCGGUGAAAUGCGUUGAUAUCGUUAGGAACUCCGGUGGCGAAGGCGGCACGCUAGACCUCUUCUGACGCUGAGGCACGAAAGCCAGGGGAGCGAACGGG
rnacentral:rRNA from 1 species